rnacentral:rRNA from 1 species
UCCUACGGGGGGCAGCAGUAGGGAAUUUUCGUCAAUGGGCGCAAGCCUGAACGAGCAAUGCCGCGUGAACGAGGAAGGUCUUCGGACCGUAAAGUUCUGUUGAAGGGGAAAAAGAGCGGAGAGAGGAAAUGGUCUCCGAUUGAUAUUACCCUUCGAGGAAGUCACGGCUAACUACGUGCCAGCAGCCGCGGUAAUACGUAGGUGGCGAGCGUUAUCCGGAAUGAUUGGGCGUAAAGGGUGCGUAGGCGGCCUGCUAAGUCUGGAGUGAAAGGUACCGGCUCAACCGGUACAGGCUCUGGAAACUG